UACGAAAGGUGCGAGCGUUAAUCGGAAUUACUGGGCGUAAAGCGUGCGUAGGCGUCUAUUUAAGUCGGAUGUGAAAGCCCCGGGCUCAACCUGGGAAUUGCAUUUAGAACUGGCAAGCUAGAGUAGGGUAGAGGGGUGUGGAAUUCCAGGUGUAGCGGUGAAAUGCGUAGAUAUCUGGAGGAACAUCAGUGGCGAAGGCGGCACCCUGGACUCAUACUGACACUGAGGUGCGAAAGCGUGGGGAGCAAACAGG
rnacentral:rRNA from 1 species